UACGGAAAGGCAGCAGUGGGGAAUAUUGCACAAUGGGCGAAAGCCUGAUGCAGCUAUGCCGCGUGUAUGAAGAAGGCCUUAGGGUUGUAAAGUACUUUCAUCGGGGAGGAAAAACAAAACUAAUAAUUUUAUUUCUUGACGUUACCCGAAAAAGAAGCACCGGCUAACUCCGUGCCAGCAGCCGCGGUAAUACGGAGGGUGCUAGCGUUAAUCAGAAUUACUGGGCGUAAAGAGCACGUAGGUGGUUUUUUAAGUCAGAUGUGAAAUCCCUGGGCUUAACCUGGAACUGCAUUUUGAAACUGAAAUACUAGAGUAUCGUAGAGGGAGGUAGAAUUCUAGGUGUAGCGGUGAAAUGCGUAGAUAUCUGGAGGAAUACCUGUGGCGAAAGCGGCCUCCUAAACGAAUACUGACACUGAGGUGCGAAAGCGUGGGGAGCAAACAGGGAUUAGAUACC
rnacentral:rRNA from 1 species